rnacentral:rRNA from 1 species
CCUACGAGAGGCAGCAGUGGGGAAUAUUGCACAAUGGGGGAAACCCUGAUGCAGCGACGCCGCGUGCGUGAAGAAGUAUUUCGGUAUGUAAAGCUCUGUCAGCAGGGAAGAAAGAAAUGACGGUACCUGACCAAGAAGCCCCGGCUAACUACGUGCCAGCAGCCGCGGUAAUCCGUAGGGGGCAAGCGUUAACCGGUAUUACUGGGUGUAAAGGGAGCGUAGACGGUAAUGCAAGUCUGGAGUGAAAGGCGGGGGCCCAACCCCCGGACUGCGCUGGAAACUGUGUAACUUGAGUGCAGGAGAGGUAAGCGGAAUUCCUAGUGUAGCGGUGAAAUGCGUAGAUAUUAGGAGGAACACCAGUGGCGAAGGCGGCUUACUGGACUGUAACUGACGUUGAGGCUCGAAAGCGUGGGGAGCAAACAGGAUUAGAUACCCCUGUAGUC